rnacentral:pre_miRNA from 1 species
UCCCAGAAAAACCGCACUCCAAUAUUUGAUCAUCCGUCUUAUUUGAAUUUUUUUUAUAAUUAGUAUUUUUAUUGUUAUUAGAUGAUAAAACAUAAUGAUAAUUUUUUUAAUUUUUUCGUAAAUUUUUCAAAUAAGAUGGAUAGCUAGAUACGGAAACCCACAACUGCACUUACA